GUGGGGAAUCUUGCGCAAUGGGCGAAAGCCUGACGCAGCCAUGCCGCGUGAAUGAUGAAGGUCUUAGGAUUGUAAAAUUCUUUCACCGGGGACGAUAAUGACGGUACCCGGAGAAGAAGCCCCGGCUAACUUCGUGCCAGCAGCCGCGGUAAUACGAAGGGGGCUAGCGUUGCUCGGAAUUACUGGGCGUAAAGGGCGCGUAGGCGGAUCGUUAAGUCAGGGGUGAAAUCCCAGAGCUCAACUCUGGAACUGCCCUUGAUACUGGCGAUCUUGAGUGUGAGAGAGGUAUGUGGAACUCCGAGUGUAGAGGUGAAAUUCGUAGAUAUUCGGAAGAACACCAGUGGCGAAGGCGACUCACUGGCCCAAUACUGACGCUGAGGCGCGAAAGCGUGGGGAGCAAACAGGAUUAGAAACCCGUGUAGUCC
rnacentral:rRNA from 1 species